UACGUAGGAGGCAAGCGUUGUCCGGAAUCACUGGGCGUAAAGCGCGUGUAGGUGGAGCAGGAAGUCUGCUGUGAAAGCGCCUGGCUUAACCGGGCGAGGUCGGUGGAAACUCCUGGUCUAGAGGCCGGUAGAGGGGGGUGGAAUUCCGGGUGUAGCGGUGGAAUGCGUAGAGAUUGGAAAGAACACCAAUGGCGAAAGCACUUUACUGGGCUAUCACUGACACUGAGAGACGAAAGCUAGGGUAGCAAAUGGG
rnacentral:rRNA from 1 species